AGUCGUGGGGCAGCAUGAGUGUAGCAAUACAUUUGAUGGCGACCGGCAAACGGGUGCGGAACACGUACUGAACCUUCCUUUAAGUGGGGAAUAGCCCAGAGAAAUUUGGAUUAAUACCCCGUAACAUAUAGAAGUGGCAUCGCUUUUAUAUUAUAGCAGUAAUGCGCUUGAAGAUGGCAGUGCGGCUGAUUAGGUGGUUGGCGGGGUAACGGCCCACCAAGCCUGCGAUCAGUAACUGGUGUGAGAGCACGACCAGUCACACGGGCACUGAGACACGGGCCCGACUCCUACGGGAGGCAGCAGUAAGGAAUAUUGGUCAAUGGACGCAAGUCUGAACCAGCCAUGCCGCGUGGAGGAUGAAGGUCCUCUGGAUUGUAAACUUCUUUUAUCUGGGAAGAAAUCCAUUUUUUCUAAAGUGGUUGACGGUACCAGAUGAAUAAGCACCGGCUAACUCCGUGCCAGCAGCCGCGGUAAUACGGAGGGUGCAAGCGUUAUCCGGAUUCACUGGGUUUAAAGGGUGCGUAGGUGGGCAGGUAAGUCAGUGGUGAAAUCUCCGGGCUUAACCCGGAAACUGCCAUUGAUACUAUUUGUCUUGAAUACCGUGGAGGUCAGCGGAAUAUGUCAUGUAGCGGUGAAAUGCUUAGAUAUGACAUAGAACACCAAUUGCGAAGGCAGCUGGCUACACGAAUAUUGACACUGAGGCACGAAAGCGUGGGGAUCAAACAGGGUUAGAUACCCUGGUAGUCCACGCCCUAAACUAUGGAUACUCGACAUACGCGAUACACAGUGUGUGUCUGAGCGAAAGCAUUAAGUAUCCCACCUGGGAAGUACGAUCGCAAGAUUGAAACUCAAAGGAAUUGGCGGGGGUCCGCACAAG
rnacentral:rRNA from 1 species